GCAGUUCCGGCGGGGGCGAACUGAGAACACAUGAGAAUAAUGAGAUGAGAUUGCUCGCCUCGCGGUACGGUUCGUGCUGGCCUGGACCACCGUCGUCGCCGUUCAUCUUGUACGCAUAAUAAUGCUGCAUGUGUUCUCAGGUCGCCCCCGCAGGGCCUUC
rfam:Zea mays cultivar B73 chromosome 2, whole genome shotgun sequence.